rnacentral:rRNA from 1 species
UACGAAGGGUGCAAGCGUUAAUCGGAAUUACUGGGCGUAAAGCGUGCGUAGGCGGUUGGCUAAGUCAGAUGUGAAAGCCCUGGGCUCAACCUGGGAAUGGCAUUUGAAACUGGGCAGCUAGAGUGUGAUAGAGGAUGGCGGAAUUCCCGGUGUAGCGGUGAAAUGCGUAGAGAUCGGGAGGAACAUCCGUGGCGAAGGCGGCCAUCUGGAUCAACACUGACGCUGAGGCACGAAAGCGUGGGGAGCAAACAGG